AGCGCGCGAUGUUUGAAGAGACCCGAGACCGAUUGAUGAUGCACGCGAUGGAUUUGGAAAACAUCAUGAAACGGUGAGUGAAAUUAGCUUCUUUCUCUUUAUCUUUCUGGGAAAAUUGAUUAUCCAAAAGACCGGUCCGAUGACAUCGUUACUAUAGUUAAAGCUAAAGUAGUCUUAUAGGCCUAACUUACUGAUCGACGGUUUUCCCCCUGUCGCUUCACAGAAGCUAUAAUGCUAAUAUUAAAAUCCGUGUUUCUUUUGGUUCACAGUUAAGAUAAGUUCAGCAAGUGUGUUUCUGCAUGUUCAGUUUAGGUGUGAUGUUAGCAUUUCAUUACCCUUCGCUUCAGUUGUUUAAAUCAGCACGUGUGCAUGAAUUAGCUUUUUGUUAACGCUAGUUUGUCCCUUAGAUAACUUAUAUAUAUUCUUAACUAUUAUUAUUUAUAAUAACUGUAACUGAGUUGUUGAGCUUAAAGUGAUGUGCAUAUGCUAAACAUUUAUGCUAAAAGUUACAGUUAGUCUUGAAAUGUAACACUUUUUUUCUCUGUUUUAUGUGUUCAUGGAGUUCUACAGGAUUGUGGGCAAGAAUCUCAAGCAAUCAUCUAAUUGAGAUAUUUCAGUCUAAAGAGGGGAUGUUGGGCAGCUGUUGACAGCUUUCACAACAAAUCAAGACUAAAGAGCCAACUGAUACUAGGUUUCUGCUGCUCAGAGGGCUCCCUUUUGCCCUUUGCGACAACCCUACAGAUUUCUACAAAGUAUGCUUUGACUCUGGAAUCAUCCUCACUGAGCAUGAAGGUGCUCUCAUCCUCUCUCCGUCUCAAUCCAGCCUCAUUGAAGGAGAUGUUGUGAUGGACAGUAUUGAAGACUUGUAAAAAGCUAUGUGCAUUCUGUAUGGAUUUAAGCACUGCAUCUCAAUUAUCCUAAAUCUAUGAAGAACACAUUCCAGAUCAUCCAACAGGUACUUCUCAUGUUGGGCCACAGUGAACUAAAACCCAGGUUGCAAACUCUGAAAAAUUGUUCUGCCGUACGAGACAUUAAAGUGUAUUCUGUCUCUGUAUAUUAGUGCUGUUAGUGCUCAGUUAAUGUGUUCACACAAUUCUUCAGCCAAGUUUAAAGUUACAGAGACUUGCCUCUGUUUUAAUUUAAGCCCAGUUGUUAAUACACAUCCAGGCAUUCACAAGAGAUAUAGCAUAUAUUCUUGAAUACUGUGUGUUCUUGUUUCUUCUACAAAAUAGUUACAAUUGUUAACAAGCUGUUCCAAAGCUUAUUUUUACUUGUCUUGUGGCUGACAAGUUUUAUGUAUUGUUGUGCUACCAUAUCUUUGGUGAACAAUUAA